UACAGGGGGGGCAAGCGUUGUUCGGAAUUACUGGGCGUAAAGGGCUCGUAGGCGGCCAACUAAGUCCGACGUGAAAUCCCAAAGCUUAACUUUGGAACUGCGUCGGAUACUGGAUGGCUUGAAUUCGGGAGAGGGAUGCAGAAUUCCAGGUGUAGCGGUGAAAAUGCGUAGAUAUCUGGAGGAAUACCGGUGGCGAAGGCGGCAUCCUGGACCGACAUUGACGCUGAGGAGCGAAAAGCUAGGGGAGCAAACGGGG
rnacentral:rRNA from 1 species